ACCUGGUACAGCUCAGUCAGUAGAGCAUGAGACAGUUAAUCUCAGGGUUGUGGGUUCGAGUCCCACAUUGGGCC